rnacentral:rRNA from 1 species
UAAAGAUUCAUCGCUGAUAGAUAGGCAUGCGUUCCAUUAGGCAGUUGGCGGGGUAACGGCCCACCAAACCGACGAUGGAUAGGGGUUCUGAGAGGAAGGUCCCCCACAUUGGUACUGAGACACGGACCAAACUCCUACGGGAGGCAGCAGUGAGGAAUAUUGGUCAAUGGGCGUAAGCCUGAACCAGCCAAGUCGCGUGAGGGAUGGAGGUUCUAUGGAUCGUAAACCUCUUUUAUAAGGGAAUAAAGUGCGGGACGUGUCCCGUUUUGUAUGUACCUUAUGAAUAAGGAUCGGCUAACUCCGUGCCAGCAGCCGCGGUAAUACGGAGGAUCCGAGCGUUAUCCGGAUUUAUUGGGUUUAAAGGGUGCGUAGGCGGCCUUUUAAGUCAGCGGUGAAAGUCUGUGGCUCAACCAUAGAAUUGCCGUUGAAACUGGGAGGCUUGAGUAUGUUUGAGGCAGGCGGAAUGCGUGGUGUAGCGGUGAAAUGCUUAGAUAUCACGCAGAACCCCGAUUGCGAAGGCAGCCUGCCAAGCCAUGACUGACGCUGAUGCACGAAAGCGUGGGGAUCAAACAGGAUUAGAUACCCUGGUAGUCCACGCAGUAAACGAUGAUCACUAGCUGUUUGCGAUACAC